rnacentral:lncRNA from 1 species
CUCUUUCUUCCCGAGUCUCGGCCAGGUCUGAGGUGAAGCAGGAAGGCCCCAUACGGGGUGGCUAGGAAUGCCCUGUGUGGACUCCCAGGGGUCCAGUGACUUCCCUAAGACCACCAGGCAAGGUGGGGGUAGACCGAGUCCCAGUUCCUUCUGCCCACACUGUGUGCAAACCCUCUACUUCUGCCCACAAGGGCUAUAAUCUCCUAUCCCUUGAUGGUCUCAAUGACCUCUGCCCAGAUUUCUGAUGGGAAAACCAAGGGACGGAGAAGAAAAGCGACUUGCCCAUGUCUCAUGGCCCCAGGAACUCAAAAUCGAGGCGAGAUCUUUCUCAUCCGGGCUGCUUCUCCCAGCCCAAGAACAAAGCUGGACACGACAGGCUCAGGGGGAAAGAAGUGAGAGGAAGGCUGGAGCAGAGGAAGCGAGAACCCUCCAGAGAUGCGGAGCUGGACAGUUUUGCAGCUGUGCUGGUACCUGGAGCCUGGGCAGGCUGGGAGUCCUGCUUAACCCCACAGCCUGCAUGCUGGCACCAAGUGGGGGUCAAACCUAGGGCCUUCUGCUCCCAGGACAUAAGUCCCCCUCACUAUUCGGAUCUGCUGGAAGAACCAGAAUCCCAGCAGAAGUGCUGAGUCAUGUGGGGGAGUUUGCUGGCAUAACUUCUCCCCACCUGCACCCAAGGCAUUGUUGAGAAAAGAAAGUCUGCUGCCACCUAAGAGACCCAGAAUCAGAACAACGGUGUGAUCUGAACAAGAUGAAGGGGUGGUUUCAUGAUAAGAAUAAACUACAAGCUUCUUCUGCUCCUUCUAGAGAUGCUCAAGAAGACUAUGGGAUAAAGCCACUUAUCUCAACUGAUAAAGGUAUAGAGCUGAGGAUGCCUGAUCUUUGCUUACUGCUCCCCUGGCCCCAUCCUAAAGAAGGGCCCCACCAGUGAACUUAUGGACCCAUGGAACCAUUCCCACUGAGCAAGAAAUAUGAGACUGAAAGUGGACUCCAAGAUGUCAUGGCUCUUAUACUCUGUUGUGUCUACAGAACCUGAGACUGUGUCUAGCACUCAGAAAACACUGUAUCCAUUCAUUUAAUCAUGAAUUCAUCAUCUAUUGACAUCUCCCCGAGUGCCAGGUCCCUAUACUUCUCAUGCAUUAUCUCAUAUAACUGUAUGUUCUUGUGGAAGCAUAGUCACACUUGGGGGCAACAUAUUCAGUCUUUCUGUCCCAUAGGAUGAUGCUCUUUUAUGCAGUGCAACCAUAUGCUAUUACAAGGAGCAUUUGGUCCUCAAGAAUCAACACUCUUUCCAAAGUAUCCAUGUUUAUUCCUUCCAGGCAAUGAAUCAUCACAGCAAGAAAAAAAAAAAGGGGGCAGGGGGGCCAGCUAGAUCAUUUACCAAGGGAAUACUGUCUGGAUAAUGAUGUUCAAAUCAUGUGCUGCUUGGUGGGAACGAGAAGACACUGGCUCCUUCACAGGCAACCCUGGCCAAGAUGCAGACACAAAUAAGGAGUUUCAGCAUGGUUUGCCCUGCACUGAGAUGUUUUCUCUCCCGCAGAAGGUUAUGUUGAUGAGUGUGUACAAAGUGCAGGGUCAAGCCUGCUCUGACAAGAGGCAAUGGCUUUGGAAGCCAUUUAAUGGAGGCAUAUUUAGGAGUGGAGUUUCUUCCUCUUCUGUUCUUGCUCUCCCUUCUUAGAGUGCCUUUUAGACUGAACUUCUCCAGCUACUGCUCAUCAUGGUGAGAGCCAGGUGUAGAAAGGUUACCUUAUCACCAUCAACGCAAUAUUCCCUUUCAUUUUUGCCUCCUGGAGGCUGAAAAAUGGCCUAGAUUCCAAGAAAGUGAAAAAAAGAGGUGUGGAGGAGGGCCUUUAGCUUUUCUCAAUAGCGUUUCCUUGGGGUCCUUUCCAGGCAAGCAUGACCCUCUCUCAUUUUCUAGAUGAGAAAUCCCAGGGAUGAGCACUUAAAUGGUAUUUCUAAAUCAGAGUCAGGGCCUGCGUUUCAGAUGGAACCCACAGACUCUCCUGAGAGGCUCUGGAUGGGGCGGAUUUGGCAUGCAAAAAGUAGGCUCCUGGCCUGGCUCUGCCCUCACCAACUGGGUGAACCUGGGCAAAUCAUUUCCAGCCUGGACUGAUACCUGGACUGGUAGCAUCAGCAUCACCAGGGAGCUUGUCAAAAAUGCAAUGUUCUGCCCUCCUCUUGUCUUUCUGGAUCAGCUCAGGGGCUGCACCAAGCCCUCUAGGUGAGUGUGGGCCUGCUCAGGGUUGAGGUCCACUGCCCCACUGGAAGGGACAGGGGCCACUCAGCCCCAAGCUAGAUAGCCAGGUGGACAUCUGGGCCCAGGACUAGCAGAUCUUCCCCUUCUUCCAAAGAAGCUAGUGGUCCAGAUUAUUUUAAGAAAUGAGAUUUUAAAAUAUUGGUAACAAAGUCAAGACACCGUGUUGCCAAAAACAACAGAAGGAGUCUGUGGGCUGCCUUGGGUACCACGUCCUACAUUUGGGCUCCAUUCUGAUUUUGGUUUCAAGAGAUCAUAAGAGCUGGUCUAUAUCCCUAAAUAAGGAAUCCUCUUACCUCCUUAUGACCUGGGGUUAGGUCUUGGGACAAGCAACAGGGUCUUUCUGACCUCUCCUUUGGCCCCUGCAGCCUACCAGCCCUCUCAGUUGUGUUCACAUCAUGUAGCCUCUGCAGGAUUCUAAGCUCCUUGGGGACAGAGAGGGUCUUGCCAUGGCAAUUUGCUGCACAGCAUCUACCUCAGAUGUGAACACAUUUGUGGCUACACUUAAUGAAUGAAUUGAAUCAUCCCUCGCCAAUCUCCAGCACCGAAAUCACAAUUUGAAGCUUGGUAGGAAUUUUCAUGGGACUCAUCAUUCAGAUACUAUGGAUCCUGCAAUCAUCACCAGGCAAAUAUUUCCCAAGCAUAUCCUCUGUGCAGGCACCAAGCUCUGGGCUGGGAAAGAAAUGUGGACCUGAUGUGCUCCGGCCUCCAGGGGGCGUGGAUUUUAAGCCGGUGGUUUUCAAUCCCCUCCAACCCAGGGUUGGUGCACACUCUCAGCAAAAUAGUUUUCAGCAUGCAUCUCCAAUAUAUGUACAGUUUAAAACUGAUAAAUAAUAUGCAUAUGUACUGCUAUUUCAUUCUCUUUGUAAAUCUUUAAAUAAAAAUUAGGAAAUUUAAGGCCAGCUACGGUGGCUCACACCUGUAAUCCUAGCACUCUGGGAGCCCAAGGUGGGUGAAUAACUUGGGGUUAGGAGUACUAGACUGCCCUGGCCAACAUGGUGAAGCCCCAUUUCUACUAAAAACACAAAACAAAAAUUAGCCAGGCAUGGUGGCGUACACCUGUAAACAGCCCAGCUAGUGGGGAGGCUGAGGCAGGAGAACUGCUUGAACCCGGAAGGUGGAGAUUACAGAGAGCCGAGAUUGCAC